CUUGGCGACUAUAGAGAGUAGGUCACACCUGUUCCCAUUCCGAACACAGAAGUUAAGAUGCUCUUCGCCGAUGAUACUUCCUUGUUAUCGAGGUGGAAAAGUAGGGCGUCGCCAGGA
rnacentral:rRNA from 2 species